GAUGAACGCUGGCGGCGUGCCUAAUACAUGCAAGUCGAGCGAACAGACGAGGAGCUUGCUCCUCUGACGUUAGCGGCGGACGGGUGGGUAACACGUGGAUAACCUACCUAUAAGACUGGGAUAACUUCGGGAAACCGGAGCUAAUACCGGAUAAUAUAUUGAACCGCAUGGUUCAAUAGUGAAAGACGGUUUUGCUGUCACUUAUAGAUGGAUCCGCGCCGCAUUAGCUAGUUGGUAAGGUAACGGCUUACCAAGGCAACGAUGCGUAGCCGACCUGAGAGGGUGAUCGGCCACACUGGAACUGAGACACGGUCCAGACUCCUACGGGAGGCAGCAGUAGGGAAUCUUCCGCAAUGGGCGAAAGCUUGACGGAGCAACGCCGCGUGAGUGAUGAAGGUCUUCGGAUCGUAAAACUCUGUUAUUAGGGAAGAACAAAUGUGUAAGUAACUAUGCACGUCUUGACGGUACCUAAUCAGAAAGCCACGGCUAACUACGUG
rnacentral:rRNA from 1 species